rnacentral:rRNA from 1 species
UACAGAGACCUCAAGCGUUAUCCGGAAUCAUUGGGCGUAAAGCGUACCGAUAGGUGGUUUAUAAAGUCUUGGGUAAAAGCCGGAAGCUCAACUUCCGCGUUUGCUUAAGAUACUUAUAGACUAGAGGGGCAAAGAGGUCAUUGGAACCAACGGUGUAGUAGUGAAAUGCGUUGAUAUCGUUGGGAACACCGAAAGCGAAGGCAGAUGACUGGGUGCCACCUGACACUGCUAGGACGAAAGCGUGGGGAGCGAAUGGG